rnacentral:tRNA from 1 species
GGAUGUAGCGCAGUUGGUAGCGCACAACCUUGCCAAGGGUUGGGGGUCGCGAGUUCGAGUCUCGUCAUCC